rnacentral:rRNA from 1 species
GAUGAACGCUGGCGGCGUGCCUAAUACAUGCAAGUCGAGCGAACAGAUGAGGAGCUUGCUCCUCUGACGUUAGCGGCGGACGGGUGAGUAACACGUGGAUAACCUACCUAUAAGACUGGGAUAACUACGGGAAACCGGAGCUAAUACCGGAUAAUAUAUUGAACCGCAUGGUUCAAUAGUGAAAGACGGUUUUGCUGUCACUUAUAGAUGGAUCCGCGCCGCAUUAGCUAGUUGGUAAGGUAACGGCUUACCAAGGCAACGAUGCGUAGCCGACCUGAGAGGGUGAUCGGCCACACUGGAACUGAGACACGGUCCAGACUCCUACGGGAGGCAGCAGUAGGGAAUCUUCCGCAAUGGGCGAAAGCCUGACGGAGCAACGCCGCGUGAGUGACGAAGGUCUUCGGAUCGUAAAACUCUGUUAUUAGGGAAGAACAAAUGUGUAAGUAACUAUGCACGUCUUGACGGUACCUAAUCAGAAAGCCACGGCUAACUACGUG